CAGAGACAGAGAAACAAGGAUUGGCCUGAACCCAGAUUCCUCCCUUGUCGUCUCCUGCCCACUUUCCAUCCUGACAUCGUUUGAAAUAUGGUGAUAACAGAGAAAUGGAAGUGACUUUCUAGGAUCACAGAGCUCAUGUCCAAAGUGGAAUUUGAAUUUUGGAUUUCUUGAUUCCUGGUAUCCAUGACACCAGAGCCCAGAAGACCUUAAAGGGACAGAUUUUGAGAUCAAAGUUCACCAGGAGCAAAUGCAAGUAGACUAUAUCUAUAUGAGUCAUUGCUUAGGAUUGUGUGACAUAUUUUCACAGGUAUCGAUUCUCAUAAAUAUAGACAAUAAUGGUUCGCAUUUAUGACACAUUUUAAACAGACAUGCUGGAACCAGUUCAUAUC